rfam:Clostridium oryzae strain DSM 28571 CLORY_contig000167, whole genome shotgun sequence.
GGUCAAGCUACAAAGGGCGCAUGGAGAAUGCCUUGGCAUCAGGAGCCGAAGAAGGACGUGAUAAGCUGCGAAAAGUUUCGGGUAGGCGCAAAUAGCCAGAGAACCGAAAAUGUCCGAAUGGGGAAACCCUCGUGUAAAA